UACGGAGGGUGCAAGCGUUAUCCGGAUUCACUGGGUUUAAAGGGUGCGUAGGUGGGCAUGUAAGUCAGUGGUGAAAUCUCCGUGCUUAACACGGAAACUGCCAUUGAUACUAUGUUUCUUGAAUUAUCUGGAGGUCAGCGGAAUAUGUCAUGUAGCGGUGAAAUGCUUAGAUAUGACAUAGAACACCAAUUGCGAAGGCAGCUGGCUACAGGUGGAUUGACACUGAGGCACGAAAGCGUGGGGAUCAAACAGG
rnacentral:rRNA from 1 species